AUCUAUCUCUGGCCGACUUUCAACGAUGGUUGCUACCCAAAAUCUGAGGUUGUGGCCCCCUCAAACCUGUCAAAGACAAUGAUGGUGGUCAUGGCUGAGUUUUGGUGGUGAUGUUUGUGCUGUUGCUGGUGGUGGCGGUGGUAGUAGAGUUCUAUGCAGCUGUUUGUGCAAGUGGUAUCCGCCGCAGCGGCUAUAGCUUUGUCUAAUACUCUAGUGGUGCUUGUGCUAGUGAUGGUGGCCGUUUUGAGUCCAUGGUGAUGGUGUUUUACGGUAGCAAUGAGUGGUGGUGAAGGUGCAUCGUGGUGGGGGAAGUAGCACUGGUUUUGUUUAUGUUACUGGAAGAUGUGUGUCUGUGCGUAGAGAGUGACGUCAGUUAGUGCGGUUAAGACUGAACAUGACAUUGGUCAAUUUUAGAAAGUUCAGGUACUUGAUUAAAUAAAGAAAAAAAAGUUGAGGUAGCACAUUGAAUUUCGGGCAAAAUUUUGAGCCCUUGUGGUUUCAUUACCCAAAUAUGUAGAUGAGAUAACUGAAAUAUAAAAGUUGGAAUGGCAA